UCCGAGCCCAAUUCUCUUGAGUCAUAUCUGAGCCCAUAUCCGAGCUCCAUUUAUUUUGGGUCCUUGAUCCGAUCCAUUGUAUUUGUAUAUAUAGGGGUCCCUAGAUAUUUUGGGACCCCCGGACUUCAUUUUGUAUAUUUUCUUUCUCGGUUUAAUAAACUCCCUCUCUGAGAAGUUCCAGAGACUUCUCACCUACUCCUCCUUCUCUCUACUUUCUCUCUCUAUGAUUUUCAUGAUUUAUCGGUUUAAUCUCGAUGUUAACAUGGUAUCAGAGCCUCGACGACGAUCCGAUCAUGUUUCUGUGUGUUUCGUGGUCCUGGAUGAAGUCUGUUUCAAGGUUUUGGAGGUGAUUUCUGAGACCGCUUCGUCGAUGAUGAUUUCAACCUAUCAGAGACUUUUCUGAGGAUAUCAUAGUGAUAUCCGAGUGUAUUUUCAUCUCCUGAACAUUCUGGAAAGAUUUUAUGAUGAUUUUGCUUGGUUGAUUUUGGGUGACUUAUCGGCUUCUAGGGUUU
rnacentral:lncRNA from 1 species